rnacentral:rRNA from 1 species
ACUCCUACGGGAGGCAGCAGUGGGGAAGUAUUGCACAAUGGGGGAAACCCUGAUGCAGCCAUGCCGCGUGUGUGAAGAAGGCCUUCGGGUUGUAAAGCACUUUCAGUAGGGAGGAAGGUAGUGUAGUUAACACCUGCAUUAUUUGACGUUAGCGACAGAAGAAGCACCGGCUAACUCCGUGCCAGCAGCCGCGGUAAUACGGAGGGUGCGAGCGUUAAUCGGAAUUACUGGGCGUAAAGCGCAUGCAGGUGGUUUGUUAAGUCAGAUGUGAAAGCCCGGGGCUCAACCUCGGAAUUGCAUUUGAAACUGGCAGACUAGAGUACUGUAGAGGGGGGUAGAAUUUCAGGUGUAGCGGUGAAAUGCGUAGAGAUCUGAAGGAAUACCGGUGGCGAAGGCGGCCCCCUGGACAGAUACUGACACUCAGAUGCGAAAGCGUGGGGAGCAAACAGGAUUAGAUACCCUGGUA